rnacentral:lncRNA from 1 species
AUUUAUAUAAAUGAAAAGAAGUACUAGCUUGAUUUCUUGACAUAAAAUAGAUUUCUUGGUGUGCUUGAUAUUCAAAGCAGAAUCUGAAAUAAUAUUGAUGACUCUAAAAUGAGAAAGCAAUGAAGUCACCUGCUACCAGUAGACUUGAACAGACACCAAAUAACAUUAUAUUUUAAAAUGUAACAAAAAUGAGGAAUUCCCAUCAUGGCUCAGCAGUUAACGUACCCAACUAGCAACGCUUGCCUCGUUCAGUGGGUUAAGGAUCCGACAUUGCCGUGAGCUGUGGUGUAGGUCACAGACGCGGCUUGGAUCCUGCAUUGCUGUGGCUCUGCUGUAUGCUGGUGGCCACAGCUCCAAUUAGACCCCUAGCCUGGGAAACUCCAUAUACCUCGGAUGCAGCCCUAAAAUGACAAAAAAAAAAAAAAAAAGUAACAAAAAUGAAAUGGUAAAAGUUAAAUUUAUUUGUUUCACGUGUCCAACACUGGGCUACGCCCUUGGUAUUCACUAUCUCAUUUAUUCCUGGAAAUAACUCCAAGAGUUAGGUGUUGUUACUCUCAUUUAACAGACAAAGAUAUUGAUCAUCGCAGAGGCCAAAGUACAUAGCUUGCGUAAAGACACACAAAUCAGGAACUGAACGUGGAUUCUGACUACACCAAAAUGCACUAUUCCCCACGAAGAUGACAAGAGCUAUUUACAGCCUUUAUGUCCACUGUGCCAGUAUAUUCUCACAGAGUGAGGCAAGAGGCUUAGUAAUAUCCCUCUUUACAAAUGUGGAAGCUGAGGCACAAAAGAGUCCUGCAAUUUAGGUAACUUCCCAUAUUAAGUGAGGACAGAGCAAAGUCCUACCCAGAGGCAUUUCCUGCUUUAGGCAUGGCGUCACUGUCACCCAGGAAAUCUGUGAACUUAGUGGGCAUUUCAGUUGAACCAAUGCACACUAAACGUGUGUCCCAGCGGCUGCCCCAUUGCCCAAAGUGAGGACAGACCUGUCCUUCAAAGACUAAAAUCCUGUUUAGAACAACAAUUCAUAGACACUUUGAGGACCACUGCUUGGACUUGCUCUGGUCAUCUGUAUACCCUUUCCCUCUUGUUUUCCUCUAUUCAUUUUUCUCCCUUGAACUCCUUAUCUCUCUAAUCCCUCCUCCUGAAUGCUCUUAUUUUAUCUCUCCCUCCACUUUUAUCUUUUCCUCCAGGUCGCCUGAGUCUAUCUUCUCCCCAAGUCAGGCUCCCCAGGCUUUCUUGGCCCCCUGACCCCUCCUUCCUCUCCCAGGACUGUAUUUCCCCUGCCUCUCACUUGCCUCCCAGCAACCUAAGCAGAACAAUACUGGAAGUGGAACUGGCACUCUGACAAAAAGGAGAGCAAUUGGAAAGAAAACUUUACUCAUCAAGAAAGAGGCAAGUAUCUUAAAAAUAUCUGUGGGAAGGUGUUUGCUAAAUCAUCUGCUUCUUCAGAUGUAAACUUUCAACAGUAUGAGUUCCACUGGGAUGGAGAUAGACAAGAAGUGCCUUCUUGGGCUGGAUGACUGAGCAGAUGCGAGGAACUAGAGACCCCGAUAACUUAGCCGUGAAUAAAAUUCAAGAGUUGUUUCCCUCUUUAUUCA